GCCCGCUUAGCUCAAUGGGAGAGCCACCGGCCUACACCCGGUAGACGAGAGUUCAAUUCUUUCAGCGGGUA
rnacentral:tRNA from 1 species